UUUAUAAUAACAUAAGGAUGUAAGAAAAUGUAAGCUAUAGGUCAAUAAUUCUUGGGGAAAAUUAAUGUUAUGUCAAAUUGUGCUUCAAGGGCAAUAACUCAUAUAAGUGAUCAAUUGACAGUUUCAGCCAUGCUGACUUAAUAGAAGAUCUCACUUUGCAGAUCAUUUUUUCCUGCUAAAAGAUUCACUCUUUCUGCUACAGUAAAUAUAGAUUGUAAUGUUUUUGAAAAUUCCAUAUAUAUAGAGAAGGCCUAAAGGGCAACAGGAGU
rnacentral:lncRNA from 1 species